UGGGGCGUGGUGUAACGGUAGCACUGCAGACUCUGACUCUGCCUGUCUUGGUUCGAAUCCAGGCGCCCCAGCCA
rnacentral:tRNA from 1 species